rnacentral:lncRNA from 1 species
AGUUGAGCUCAUUUCCGGUAUGGAGAUGGACCUGACAGUUGGGGUCAUCACCCUACCUGCAAACCUUUCAUUACGCCGAUCGCGUAGAGCAUUCCUCUCACCACGCGGUACCUGCGUACAUGUUUUUUGCUUGCCAAUUUUCUGUUGAUGCUUGUUUGCCGCCAUACCUCCAUUGCAAGCUCGCUCUCUCCUCCCACGCGCUGCUCUGGACUCAUGACUCUGCUCGUCCACUCCAUUAUCCGCUAUUGUUACCGGAUCACUGGCUUGCUGGUCGACAUUUUGUAGGUGCACAUUGAUUUCGAUGAGGUUGCCAUGUACAGCACCAUCACCGAAGGUUCUGCUUAGGUAUGCACCUACAACAUCAUCGAAUCAUUAUUUAUAUAUCAUGAAUGAUUACAUGAUGAAAGAUGAUGGUUGAUAGGAUAUGUACCAUAGGUUUCGGUGUUGCGAAUGUAUGUGGGGGGCACAUUGACCGUAGGAGCAUGAUCUAUUUGUUCACUGUCGAAUUGUUGCGUGAGGGCUGAAAGUGCGAGAGUUGGACAAUGUGUGUGAGGGCUGGCCCACCCGUACACGACGGAAUCAGUGGCGCAGGUGUUCUUCGCCGAGAUUGUUCGUCUCCAUGGCGUUCCGCAGUCCAUGGUCUCUGACCGCGACCCCGUCUUCACCUCGGCUUUUUGGCGGGAGCUCAUGCGCCUCACCGGGACAAAGCUGCACAUGACGUCAGCGUUUCAUCCACAGUCGGAUGGCCAAACGGAGGCUGCUAACAAGAUCAUUGUGAUGUACCUACCUUGUCUCACCGGGGAUCGUCCCAGGCAGCGGCUCCGGUGGCUUCCCUGGGCCGAGUACAUCUACAAAACCGCCUACCAGACAGCGACCCAAGAAACUCCGUUCAAGCUUGUGUAUGGCCGUGACCCUCCCACUAUUCGCUCUUACGAGCCGGGCGACACGCGGGUAGCCGCAGUGGCCAGGAGCAUAGCGGAGCGCGACGAGCUACUCGGGGACGUCCGCUAUCGUCUACAACAGGCACAGGCGGUCUACAAGUCCUACUAUGACAGACGCCAUCGGGACAUUCGGCAUGACGUGGGCGAUUGGGUCUGGCUUCGCCUUCGCCAGCGCACCGCGUCCUCUCUCAACUUGCCAACCAGGGGCAAGCUCAAGCCACGCUUCUAUGGGCCGUACCGCAUUUCAGAGGUCGUCAAUGACGUGGUUUACCGCCUUGAGCUUCCGGCACGCUCGCGCCUCCAUGACGUGUUCCACGUGGGCCUCCUCAAGAAGUUCUUCGGCACGCCUCCAACUGCACCGCCGGGUUUGCCUCCGAUCCACAACAGGGCGGCUGUUCCAGAACCGGAGCGCGUGACUCGUGCGCGCCUAGCACGCGGCGUUUGCCAGCUACUCGUCCACUGGAAGGGUGAAGCAGCAUCAUCAGCUACAUGGGAGGAUCUUGACAGUUUCGUCGAGCGCUACCCCGCUUUUCAGCUCGAGGACGAGCUGCUCGUCGAGGGGGGAGAGAUGUCAUGUGGGGCACUUCCUACAGGCGUGGGCCACGCGACCAGGAGCAACAGCCGCCUGCCGCAAUAGGCAAGGCGUAGUCCGGGCAGGAGUCCUGGUCCUUAUACAUUAGUUCCUAGAAUAAAAGAGUAGUUUGUUAGGCAUAGGUUUCUAGUUUGUUAGCAGCCCAUGGGGCCUUUAUAUAUCGUAUAAUCAGCACCCUUCGAGGGCAAGCAAUAAAGUUAUUAUCUCCUACCUCUCCCUCUACUCCUAUCCUCUCCUUCCGCACCAUUGAGCAGCCAGGCAAAAACCCUAGCGCUCCUAUCCACCGAGACUACGAACUACGUAGUCGAGGCCCUGCUGUCUUGGGCACCGAGGCCCUUGACAAUGGCGUGGAACAUUAUGCGACCUCUCUUCCCAACUGUCACGUUGCAUGCUACCUAGUUAUUUUGUCAGAUUACCGAGAGCUGGCAAGGAAUCUACAUUAUAUAGGAAUGAUAUUGGAGGGUUGUCUGCAUCAUGUUAACAUAAAUAUAUAUUGGACCGAAAUAAGGCAAAGUUGUAGGCACAUGGUCUUAACCUUUCGGCAACAUAAUACUUACCCGAAAUCAGAUGGGAAGGUUGAUGAACAUAUGUCCUUUCACAAUGGCCUGUUCAAGAAACAUCCAGUCCGAGUGAGUAAUAUGGGCUCCUACAGGUCAUACGCUUGAUCCUUUAGAAUCGGUUCUGCCCAAGUCUGUUAGGUAUGAUUUAUCACAUAAAAAGCAUAAAAGCAAUAUCAGUAUAUAUGCACAGCCUUAAUACCUGGACUACUUGGGUAAUUCUUGUGAACAUCGUCGACUCCAGGUAUAACCCCUUCGUUAGAGUCGUCACCAUUUGGCCCCUCCAUCAGGCCUGCAACAUCUCCUGUGAUGGUGUUUGACAUGUAUAACAAAAUAUGUAGCUGAACAUAUAUAUGGAGGUAGAUAUAUACCUGGAGUAUCAUAUGUGCUAUCACCAUCGGUCUCAAGUAUCAUCCGUUCGGAGGGAGUAAUAUGGACUCCUAGAAGUCAAGAUGUUGAUACAUUAUAAUCAGUUGUGCCCAAGUCUGUUAGGUAUGAUUUUUCAACUAAAAAGGAUAAAAAUAAACCUUAUGCCUGGACUACAUGGGUAAAUUUUGUCAACAUCAUCGGCUACGUGUAUAAUCCCUUCGUUAGAGUCGUCAACACUUGUCCCCUCCAUCGGGACUGCAACACAUAUAUAGUUGAACAUAUAUAUGUUUGACUUGUGUAGCACAAUUUAUAGGUGAACAUAUACCUGGAGGUACAUGUGAUGAAGUCGUCUGUUCCGUUGGCUUGCUGUGUGGAGUCCCCAUAUGUAACUACUAAAAAAGACAUGUCCAACAGACUCAGGUAUAUAGCAAAAACUUGUAAACUGACUCUGCAAGCAGAUCACGUGAAAUACCAACAGUACUAAACGCCCGUUCCCAUUGUACAGAAAUCCAGUCCAUACGGGCAGAUUGUUACAGAUUUAUGAGUUUUGCUAUAUAUAUGAAAAUAGAAAGACAUGUCCAACGGACUUUGCUACUUUCCAUUUUUUUUGUAAACUGACUCUGCUGGAUACAUGUUAAGAAUUCAAGAUGCUAAGAUGUCCUGUUCAUCUGACUGCAGUAGAUGAAGGCCGUCGAAGAUCACAAGCGCAACUUGCUAUUGUACAGGUUUAGAAUUUAGAAAGGUGGCCUAUUUUUUCAUGUGAACUUACCUAUUCUUUGCUAUUCAGAAUAAUUAUUUAUCUUCCCAUUGCUGUGUUAGUUGAUUCAUAUGCGGUUGUGCUAUUCUGACAAGGAUAUCCAUCAAGGUUGUUUGGAGGGACAUAAUGAAACGUCACAAGUUCUACUUUGCUGAUUCUUUCAGAGAAUUGUUUCAUUACUAAUGCGCUGUCGCGGACAUGUAUUAAUCCCAAAUUCCAAAUCACUCUGGAAUCCAGUCAAAAUCCAGUCAAAAUCACUCUGGAAUCCUUCUCCGUAAUUGAUUCGCAAACUACUCUCAAGGACUGCUCUGAAACUCAAAUAUCGUGGGCACAUGAAGUUGUGGUGUAAUUUUUACAGAAACAAGUGAUCCAGGCAGCAAGGUAUUGAUUGAUGCAACUAUGUUGUGAUGUUUCAGUGACUGUUAAUAUUUUUUUUAGGAAGGAUAACCAAUUCAGAUGGUACCCAAGGAGUUCUGGAUGGGAGAUUGUUUAUUUCUAUGUCGUGCAAUUCAACAUUUCAGUACUAAAAGUAUUUUUCAUGUUAUCUAGAUUGGAGGUACAUCCUUUGUAAACUAAUAUGAGGCCUUUUAGGUCACGGAAGUAGUGACCUAAAAGGUCUUGUAUUAGUUACAGAGGGGUUUGAUUUGUGAGGUCCCGCGGGCAGCUACCGGCAGCGGAGGUGGAAAAAGAAGUCUGGCAUGGCUUGAUUUAGUUUGAACACGAGUCCAUCAGGAUCGCCCUGACCUGUACACGUAGACAUAACAAACAAACAAAACAUGUGUGUUCAUACCUGGGGUUGAAACCGUA